AACAGGCCUAACACGCACACAUGGACUACCACACGGAUUCGCACACAUGUCCCCACCCCAUGCCUUCUCCGCUUAACCCCUGACGGUAGGAUGGUUUACGGAGCAGCACCCCCUGGCUGCAACUUUGGACCGAAUGCCCCCACCCUCCCUGUUGCCCCGCCGUCCAAAUCCCCAGGGAGAGGUUGAUGCGGUAAAACAAAUCUGAUGGAUCCAAUGUGUCUGGAAGCAGCAGUUUGGACCUCAUGGCGUCCUAGAGAAUAGAGGAAAAAGGAAGGAGAAGAUACAAACAAGCUGCUCUUCCAAGCUGAAUGGACAGAGUAGGACCACAUUUGGGAAUUUGGACUUGGAGCUGGCCAUCCAGCUACUGUGGUUCCUUCCAGUCUGUCAGCCAGCCAGCGUCAUCAGUGCAUGGACACCAGCC